rnacentral:snoRNA from 1 species
GAACGUUUGACAUCACUCUGGGACCAAGUUUUGAUGGAGACUCUUUGAGUUUCUAUCAAUACCUUUCACUGUACUUAGUUCCAAUUUAUAUUGCAAACAAGAUUAAUUUUAGGCGACUACUCACUAAGAUAUACCUUUUCUACCAUGGUUAUAUUAGUCCAUUUCACAGCCUUAAAU